CGCUGGAGUAGGCUUAACAAAGAUCGUCUUCAUCGUCGGAGCAGGGUAUACUUGUACUUUGUUGUUUAAAAACGGAAAAUUAUCGGAUGUGAUAGGCGAGCUUCAGAAUUUGGUCAAAAGUUAUGAAAAGACAGGGGAAUCAGAUGGUGGAGAUUCGGAUGUCAUUGCUGCACAGGU